UACGGAGGAUGCGAGCGUUAUCCGGAUUUAUUGGGUUUAAAGGGUGCGCAGGCGGCGAGUUAAGUCAGCGGUAAAAUUUCGGGGCUCAACCCCGACAAGCCGUUGAAACUGGCUGUCUUGAGAUGUCGAGAGGUAUGCGGAAUGCGCAGUGUAGCGGUGAAAUGCAUAGAUAUCACGCAGAACUCCGAUUGCGAAGGCAGCAUACCGGCGCCCGACUGACGCUGAAGCACGAAAGCGUGGGUAUCGAACAGG
rnacentral:rRNA from 1 species